CCCUUAGAUGUUCUGGGCCGCACGCGCGCUACACUGAUGCAUUCAACGAGUCUAAAACCUGGUCUGAUAGGGCUGGGUAAUCUUUUGAAUGUGCAUCGUGAUUGGGAUAGAUGAUUGCAAUUCUUCACCUUCAACGAGGAAUGCCUAGUAAACGCAAGUCAUCAGCUUGCAUUGAUUAUGUCCCUGCCCUUUGUACACACCGCCCGUCGCUCCUACCGAUUGAAUGUUCCGAUGAAUACCAUGGACUGAGAGUAUGAAUGGGUUCGCCUAUUUCUGCUUCUCGGGAAGUGGAGUAAAUCUUAACAUUUAGAGGAAGGAGAAGUCGUAACA
rnacentral:rRNA from 1 species